CUUAAUUGAAUGAUGAUUAAAAUGGGGAAGAGCUUUUUUUUUUCUCUCUCUGAAAAGGACAGGUCACUGAUGUACUAUAGAAUUAUCAGUACAGUAUGUGCUUAUUUACACCCUACUGCCGGUAGUCGGCAACUUUUCCAAAAGAACGCUGAGUUGAUUUCGACAGUCCACCUUGUGUCUCUUUCAGUUUUUUCUUCUAAGAUCCAGAUCGAUAGACCUAUAUCCAUCUUUUAGUUUGU
rnacentral:lncRNA from 1 species